GCAUUCCAGUCCUGGAACAGUCNCAGCUGCUUCACCUCUUGGACUGACCUUCCCUUGACUCUCAAGGAACAGACAGAUUUUGUGUUCUUGCAGUCCUAGGCCUUCCUGUGACCUGAAUGAAAACCCUCCAGCCUCUUUCCCACUAAAGCCACGCUGCAGUUCUCCAUUUAUUUUUUCAGUUUGAAAUGACAGAAGAAUCUUGAAGGGGGUAGAAAUGAGGACAGCGCCACCUGCUGAUCAUUAAAGGCUGUGUUCCCCUGGGGCAGUGACCGGAGGGUUCUUUCCUUUUAA
rnacentral:lncRNA from 1 species